AACGAACGCUGGCGGCAGGCUUAACACAUGCAAGUCGAACGAGAAGCAUCCUUCGGGAUGUGGAAAGUGGCAGACGGGUGAGUAACGCGUGGGAACUUACCUAGGGGUACGGAAUAACGCAUGGAAACGUGUGCUAAUACCGUAUACGUCCUUCGGGAGAAAGAUUUAUCGCCCCUAGAUAGGCCCGCGUCCGAUUAGUUAGUUGGUGGGGUAAUGGCCUACCAAGACGCCGAUCGGUAGCUGGUCUGAGAGGAUGAUCAGCCACACUGGGACUGAGACACGGCCCAG
rnacentral:rRNA from 1 species